GAGAGCCGUUUGAUGGGUGACUAUCCAGCAUGGUUCGGAGAGAACUUUUAGUCUGCGCUGGUGAAUGGAAGCCCCCUAUCAAGCAAGAAGGAAGCGGCUUUUCCCACGGCGGAGGCACCAUUGACUCUAU
rnacentral:ncRNA from 1 species